GCCCACAUAGCUCAGUUGGUAGAGCACUUCCAUGGUAAGGAAGAGGCCUGUGGUUCGAACCCACAUGUGGGCA
rnacentral:tRNA from 1 species